rnacentral:lncRNA from 1 species
ACUGGGGCUUGUUUUAGCAGCAUUGAUUAAGUUGUCAUUGAUUUUCAAGAUAGGAAAUAGAACUUUCAAAUUUCCCACAUGAAUUUUAAAUAAGUCAGAUAUUAACAACAAGAUAAAACAUUUACCAUGGCAAUGACAGAAUAGUCAAGUAUCAUUCAAAACCUUUCAAGGCUCACAAAGAGCAUAUGGAUUCUAGAUGUCAAUACAUACAUGACUAGGAACUUACCUGGAGACACACAGCCAGCAAGAUGAGCAUCUGGAGCAGAGAGGAAUUUUUUCAAAAUUUAUCCAGAUUUUCUGAAUCUUCUUAUAAAGGAAAAAUAUCUUAUGCCUGCAUAAAUGAAAGGAGACCAAGAUUAUUGACUUAUUCAUUUAGCAAAUACAUAGUGAGCCCCUAUCCUCCACUAGGCAUUGUGCUAAAUACUAAGGAUAUAGUAAUGAUAAGAUACAUAAUCCUUUACCUCAUCAGGCUCUGCUCCUAGUGGGUAGACAAAAGAAAAGCAGAAAAAGAUGACAACACAACGGGCUGAAAUGACCAUAAUACCGGUAUGUGCCAGGUACUGAGAGAGGACGAAGGCUUCACGAGCGUGUUUGAAACCAAGACUUGAUAGGGAAUUUUACUUUAACGGAAGAUAGCGGUGAGGGCUUGAACACUAAGGAAUUAAUGAGAGAUCAGGCCCCUUUAGCGACUCAAAGCAUAUUAUAACUCCAGCUGGUCAAAAAGAGAGGAAAUAAAUAAUAUAACAGGAACAACUGGAAGAGCAAGUGCAGCAUCAGGUUGGUGCAUUUCUUCUGAUCAAAAGGUCGAAUUGCAACUGGUCUUUGAAGAGUGUGCUGGUGACAGUGUGCAACCUUUGCAGGUAGCUCCUGGACUGGCCCUAGACUGCUGUCAAAUUAAACCAGCACUGUAAAGAAGAGAGCAAGUUGAAUGAAGUUGAAUGAAGGGGCAUCUUAAUUCCAAUCCUGGCUCUAAUGCUGACUGUAAGCAUGACCCCGGAUGAGUUAUUCACUCUCUCAGUCUCAGUCUCCUCAUCCACAAAGCAGGGAUCACAAUAAAUGAAUAGCACCUUUCACAGAACCCACCAUAUAUACUGAGUGUUCAAUAAAUACCGUGUUCAUCAUCUAACAUCAUAACACAUUGAGCAUCCAUCAAAGCAGAAGUAGUUCGCACCUGGAUAUUUCUGUUUCUUUUUUUUUUUUUGCUAUCCUACUGGUGUUUUACUUAAAUUUAGUGUGGUAAUAUGAAAGAAAAUUAC